UACGGGGGGGAGCAAGCGUUGUUCGGAUUUACUGGGCGUAAAGGGCGCGUAGGCGGUCGUGACAAGUCACUUGUGAAAUCUCCGGGCUUAACUCGGAACGGUCAAGUGAUACUGUCGGACUAGAGUACAGAAGGGGGCAACUGGAACUCCUGGUGUAGCGGUGGAAUGCGCAGAUAUCAGGAAGAACACCGACGGCGAAGGCAGCUCGCUGGGACGGUACUGACGCUGAGGCGCGAAAGCGUGGGGAGCGAACAGG
rnacentral:rRNA from 1 species